UGAUGCAGUUUGAGCUUUUCUCUUCCCAGCAGGUUUGCGAAUCACAUUAAGCUCUUCUGGUGACCUGGGAGGCUAGUUUAGAAGGUGUUCUACCCUGAGCGAGAGGGUAUUUGACUCUUGGACUGUCUUCGACUGGCAUUGGAGGGCCUUUUGGAAACUUAAUUUGAGCAGCGUCGAGGCUCCGUUGAGCAGGGUUCGGGACUCCUUUUGGCUGGAUUGAGCUUGGUGAUAGAGCCUUCCACCCCGGGAAAGGCUAGGGUUCUU